AGUGAACGCUGGCGGUAGGCCUAACACAUGCCAGUCGAACGGCAGCACAGUAAGAGCUUGCUCUUACGGGUGGCGAGUGGCGGACGGGUGAGGAAUACAUCGGAAUCUACUUUUUCGUGGGGGAUAACGUAGGGAAACUUACGCUAAUACCGCAUACGACCUACGGGUGAAAGCAGGGGAUCUUCGGACCUUGCGCGAUUGAAUGAGCCGAUGUCGGAUUAGCUAGUUGGCGGGGUAAAGGCCCACCAAGGCGACGAUCCGUAGCUGGUCUGAGAGGAUGAACAGCCAAACUGGAACUGAGACAAGGUCCAGACUCCUACGGGAGGCAGCAGUGGGGAAUAUUGGACAAUGGGCGCAAGCCUGAUCCAGCCAUACCGCGUGGGUGAAGAAGGCCUUCGGGUUGUAAAGCCCUUUUGUUGGGAAAGAAAAGCAGCAGGUUAAUACCCCGCUGUUCUGACGGUACCCAAAGAAUAAGCACCGGCUAACUUCGUG
rnacentral:rRNA from 1 species